rnacentral:sRNA from 1 species
AGGCGCAGCGGGACUGGACCUGGGUGCCGAGCGGAGCCGCUGCCAUGGGCCUGGGCGUCAGCGCUGAGCAGCCCGCAGGCGGCGCCGAGGGCUUCCACCUCCACGGGGUGCAGGAGAACUCCCCAGCCCAGCAGGCAGGCCUGGAGCCCUACUUUGACUUCAUCAUCACCAUUGGGCACUCGAGGCUGAACAAGGAGAAUGACACCCUGAAGGCACUACUGAAAGCCAAUGUGGAGAAGCCCGUGAAGCUGGAGGUGUUCAAUAUGAAGACCAUGAGGGUGCGCGAGGUGGAGGUGGUGCCCAGCAACAUGUGGGGCGGCCAGGGCCUACUGGGUGCCAGCGUGCGCUUCUGCAGCUUCCGCAGGGCCAGUGAGCAGGUGUGGCAUGUGCUGGUGAGUGUGGGGUAUGGCAGGGCAGGGUGUGUCGGCAGGAUGAGUUUACUGGGGCAGGUCUGGGUGUGGGCGGGGUGUGAGGGUGGGACACGCAGGAGUGGAGCAGGAGCCUUGGAGCAGUGGCCAGGGAAGACUGAGGGCAGGAUGUGGUCUCAUUCCAGUGUCCCAGAGAGGGCAGCUCAUUACUACAUGAACAGUG